UAAGCCUGCAUGUCUAAGUAUAAGCAAUUAUACCGCGAAACUGCGAAUGGCUCAUUAUAUAAGUUAUCGUUUAUUUGAUAAUACUUUACUACUUGGAUAACCGUGGUAAUUCUAGAGCUAAUACAUGCUAAAAAUCCCGACUUCGGAAGGGUUGUAUUUAUUAGAUUAAAAACCAAUGCCCCUCGGGGCUCUCUGGUGAAUCAUGAUAACUAGUCGAAUCGACAGGCCUUGUGCCGGCGAUGGCUCAUUCAAAUUUCUUCCCUAUCAACUUUCGAUGUUUGGGUAUUGUCCAAACAUGGUGGCAACGGGUAACGGAGGGUUAGGGCUCGACCCCGGAGAAGGAGCCUGAGAAACGGCUACUACAUCCAAGGAAGGCAGCAGGCGCGCAAAUUACCCAAUCCCGACACGGGGAGGUAGUGACAAUAAAUACUGAUACAGGGCUCUUUUGGGUCUUGUAAUCGGAAUGAGUACAAUUUAAAUCCCUUAACGAGGAACAAUUGGAGGGCAAGUCUGGUGCCAGCAGCCGCGGUAAUUCCAGCUCCAAUAGCGUAUAUUAAAGUUGUUGUGGUUAAAAAGCUCGUAGUUGAACCUUGGGCCUGGCUGGCCGGUCCGCCUCACCGCGUGCACUGGUCCGGCCGGGCCUUUCCCUCUGCGGAACCCCAUGCCCUUCACUGGGUGUGGCGGGGAAACAGGACUUUUACUUUGAAAAAAUUAGAGUGCUCAAGGCAGGCCUAUGCUCGAAUACAUUAGCAUGGAAUAAUAGAAUAGGACGUGUGGUUCUAUUUUGUUGGUUUCUAGGACCGCCGUAAUGAUUAAUAGGGACAGUCGGGGGCAUCAGUAUUCAAUUGUCAGAGGUGAAAUUCUUGGAUUUAUUGAAGACUAACUACUGCGAAAGCAUUUGCCAAGGAUGUUUUCAUUAAUCAGGAACGAAAGUUAGGGGAUCGAAGACGAUCAGAUACCGUCGUAGUCUUAACCAUAAACUAUGCCGACUAGGGAUCGGACGAUGUUACAUUUUUGACGCGUUCGGCACCUUACGAGAAAUCAAAGUGCUUNGNNNNCAGGGG
rnacentral:rRNA from 2 species